UACGUAGGAGGCGAGCGUUGUCCGGAGUUACUGGGCGUAAAGGGUGCGCAGGCGGUGGCCCGCGUGGGCGGUGAAAGCUCCUGGCUCAACUGGGAGAGGGCCGUCCAGACGGGGUCACUUGAGGGGCGGAGAGGGGCGUGGAAUUCCGGGUGGAGCGGUGAAAUGCGUAGAGAUCGGAAAGAACAUCGAUGGCGAAGGCAGCGACCUGGGACCAGACUGACACUGAGGCGCGAAAGCGUGGGGAGCAAACAGG
rnacentral:rRNA from 1 species